AUACGUAGGGGGCGAGCGUUGUCCGGAAUGAUUGGGCGUAAAGGGCGCGUAGGCGGCCUGUUAAGUCUGGAGUGAAAGUCCUGUUUUCAAGAUGGGAAUUGCUUUGGAUACUGAUGGGCUUGAGUGCAGGAGAGGUUAUCGGAAUUCCCGGUGUAGCGGUGAAAUGCGUAGAGAUCGGGAGGAACACCAGUGGCGAAGGCGGGUAACUGGACUGCAACUGACGCUGAGGCGCGAAAGUGUGGGGAGCAAACAGGAUUAGAUACCCUGGUAGUCCACACUGUAAACGAUGAAUGCUAGGUGUAAGAGGUAUCGACCCCUUUUGUGCCGGAGUUAACACAAUAAGCAUUCCGCCUGGGGAGUACGGCCGCAAGGUUGAAACUUAAAGGAAUUGGCGGGG
rnacentral:rRNA from 1 species